GACGAACGCUGGCGGCGUGCUUAACACAUGCAAGUCGAACGGAAAGGCCCUGCUUGCAGGGUGCUCGAGUGGCGAACGGGUGAGUAACACGUGAGUGAUCUGCCCCUUACUUUGGGAUAAGCCUGGGAAACUGGGUCUAAUACUGGAUAGGACCAUGCUGUAGGUGGUGUGGUGGAAAGAUUAGUUUCGGUAAGGGAUGAGCUCGCGGCCUAUCAGCUUGUUGGUGGGGUAAUGGCCUACCAAGGCGUCGACGGGUAGCCGGCCUGAGAGGGUGGACGGCCACAUUGGGACUGAGAUACGGCCCAGACUCCUACGGGAGGCAGCAGUGGGGAAUAUUGCACAAUGGGCGCAAGCCUGAUGCAGCGACGCCGCGUGGGGGAUGACGGCCUUCGGGUUGUAAACUCCUUUCAGCCAUGACGAAGCCCUUGUGGUGACGGUAGUGGUAGAAGAAGCACCGGCUAACUACGUG
rnacentral:rRNA from 1 species